rnacentral:rRNA from 1 species
UGGGGAAUUUUGGACAAUGGGCGAAAGCCUGAUCCAGCAAUGCCGCGUGUGUGAAGAAGGCCUUCGGGUUGUAAAGCACUUUUGUCCGGAAAGAAAUCCUUGGCUCUAAUACAGUCGGGGGAUGACGGUACCGGAAGAAUAAGCACCGGCUAACUACGUGCCAGCAGCCGCGGUAAUACGUAGGGUGCAAGCGUUAAUCGGAAUUACUGGGCGUAAAGCGUGCGCAGGCGGUUUGCUAAGACCGAUGUGAAAUCCCCGGGCUCAACCUGGGAACUGCAUUGGUGACUGGCAGGCUAGAGUAUGGCAGAGGGGGGUAGAAUUCCACGUGUAGCAGUGAAAUGCGUAGAGAUGUGGAGGAAUACCGAUGGCGAAGGCAGCCCCCUGGGCCAAAUACUGACGCUCAUGCACGAAAGCGUGGGGAGCAAAACAGGAUUAGAUACCCUGGUAGUCCACGCCCUAAAACGAUGUCAACUAGUUGUUGGGGAUUCAUUUCCUUAGUAACGUAGCUAACGCGUGAAGUUGACCGCCUGGGGAGUACGGUCGCAAGAUUAAAACUCAAAGGAAUUGACGGGGUCAUA